AUGAGUUGUUUAAGCUGGAACUGCCGGGGGCUUGGGAACCCAGCGACAGUUCGUGAGCUUCGCAAUAUUGUGAAGUAGGAAGGGCCCGUUCUCCUGUUUGUGAUGGAGACGAAGAUUUCUGCACAAAGAGUGGAGGGUUUGAAACUCCUACUAGGGUUCGCUGGUUGCUUCGCAGUAAGCAGUGUUGGCCUUAGUGGGGGGUUGGUAUGUUCUGGUCUGGGGAACUGGACGCAGAUUUGA
rnacentral:rRNA from 1 species